AGCAGAGUGGCGCAGUGGAAGCGUGCUGGGCCCAUAACCCAGAGGUACGUGGAUCGGAACCAUGCUUUGCUA
rfam:Schistocephalus solidus strain NST_G2 genome assembly, scaffold: SSLN_scaffold0006836